ensembl:piRNA 21ur-12649 ncRNA
UUUUCGUACAUUUUCACUGCA